GCAGAACAUGUACAGUAGAACUGGGCUGAUUCACAACUGGAAGGGAAAUACUGUAGGUCUUCACAUUGGGUAGCUACUGUUCAUAAAUAAGGGCAUGGAGUUUUUCCUCUUCAGGUCAUAUGGUUAGGAAACACUUCAGGUGCUAUUCACAGUUGCUCUCCAUCUUGCAACAUGCUGAGGUGUGUGAGAGGGAGAGAGAGAGAGAGAAAGGGGGAGGAAUAGGGAGAGAGAGAGAGACUGCACAAGAGAGAGUGAGGGGGAGAGAGGGAGAGCAAGAGAGAGAGAGAGAGAGAUGCAGAAACAGAGCAUGUCCUAAAUUACCUUCAAUCUCCAGUUAAUGAAAAACAGGAAGUUGGUUCAGGCAGACCAGACAUUGUGUUAGCUGAGAAUACCAUAAAGCUGGAAGGCUACAUUUCUAAACCCUUUCAGAAUUUGCCCAAGAGCCAGAGAGAUGAGUCACACAGACACAUACAGCGGCUAAUAGAUUUCUGGCUGGGAGCAUGCAUUAUGCAGCGAUCCCCAGAGUGCUUGGAGAGAGUGAGGAGGGUCCCACCUGGUGGGUUCAGAGUGCAUCUCCCCACCGCCCACCUUACUGGCCAAUGGGAGAGAGGGUUGUGACUGCCAUCCCAGCAUAGCCUGGACUGGAGAGAAAGGAGACUCCAGUUGUGAGUCUCAGCCCUCCCCACUCAUUAAAAAAGAUUUGCAGCUCGUACGGAAGCUGGAGAGAAAUGGAUCUCUCAGCGUGAUGGCGGUGCAGUGGCCGUUUGGCCCAGGAGACAGUCCUGAGCCCACAUUCAUCUCCAUUAGUAGGACAGCCCAGCGCCCAGCCCAGCGACCAGCCCAGCGCCCCCCCACACACACACACAUACGGGAUCACGUUUCACCACCUGCUAUUUUUCCAGGUGGAGAGAGAGGAU
rnacentral:lncRNA from 1 species